CUUAGUUUUGCAUGCAUUACAACUUUGAAUCAUUAAAAUCCCUUUUAAUGUUCAAGUUAAAUGGUUUCCACAUGCAUACAAACAUGUCUAUUCAUUAUAUGAAUAACAUCAUGAAAUAAAAUAAUCUAACUACAUCAUAUGCAAAAGAUUAUAGGUCAUAUAGAUCUGACCAGUAGCAUAAUUGUUGACAACUUCAGAAGAAGGGGUCGACAACUAUAUCUAGCUUGUUGACAACUACAAUCAUAGGUUAACAAUUGAAAGAUAUUCUUGUCGACCACUAAGUCGGCUUAACUGUAGAGUUGUCGACCACUAAAUGUAACUUGUCGACGACUGUACACAGCGACUGUGAAACAGAAAACCGAUUCAGACUUUGAAACCCUUUUCAAAUCCAAAUCAUUCUUUCUCGAAUUCGUACAUGCAUGAAAACUUUGAUAUCACAAAGCACCUGGACGAGCUCUGAUACCAAUUGAAGAGAAUUCGAGCAUCGUAUGCGCCGAGGAUUCACCGAUUAAGGUGAAAGUAUGCAAUUUGAAAACAAUUUUCAGCGGAAUAAAAACAGGGUUGUUCAAAACAGCCCAUUGCAAACUUUGGAUCUGAUCCAAUCCUACGAAAUUUUCAGAUGAAUCCGCAGGAUAUGUGAUAGAAAUAUUCAUGCAUGGAUCACAUCGUCUGUAUUCUUGAAUUGAGAUCAAAUCUCAACUCCAAAAACUGAAAAUAGAAUACUAACCUUUCAGCAGGUUGGUUCUAGCUUGCUGCUCUGCAACCGCACAAUCGUCCGGCCUCUAUAAGUAAUCCACGCGAGGCCUCUGGAUCAACCGGCGUCCUGGGGAGUGCUAGCUCACAGGGAUGCAGCAGGUGGCCGAGAGAGAGAGGGAGAGAACUAGGAG
rnacentral:lncRNA from 1 species